AACGGAGGGUGCAAGCGUUGUUCGGAAUUACUGGGCGUAAAGCGCGUGCAGGUGGUUUUCUAAGUUCUGUGUGAAAUCCCUCGGCUUAACCGAGGAACUGCGCAGAAUACUGGAUGACUUGAAUACGGGAGAAGUGGGCGGAAUUCCCAGUGUAGAGGUGAAAUUCGUAGAGAUUGGGAGGAACACCGGUGGCGAAAGCGGCUCACUAGACCGAUAUUGACGCUCAUACGCGAGAGCGUGGGUAGCAAACAGG
rnacentral:rRNA from 1 species